GACGAACGCUGGCGGCGUGCUUAACACAUGCAAGUCGAACGGAAAGGCCCCUUUGGGGGUACUCGAGUGGCGAACGGGUGAGUAACACGUGAGUAACCUGCCCUUGACUUCGGGAUAACUUCAGGAAACUGGGGCUAAUACCGGAUAGGAAUCCUUGCUGCAUGGUGGGGGUUGGAAAGCUUCGGCGGUUUUGGAUGGACUCGCGGCUUAUCAGCUUGUUGGUGGGGUAGUGGCUUACCAAGGCUUUAACGGGUAGCCGGCCUGAGAGGGCGACCGGCCACAUUGGGACUGAGAUACGGCCCGGACUCCUACGGGAGGCAGCAGUGGGGAAUAUUGCACAAUGGGCGGAAGCCUGAUGCAGCAACGCCGCGUGCGGGAUGACGGCCUUCGGGUUGUAAACCGCUUUCAGCAGGGGCGAAGCUUUUGUGACGGUACCUGCAGAAGAAGCACCGGCUAACUACGUG
rnacentral:rRNA from 1 species